rnacentral:rRNA from 1 species
GUCUAUGGCCAUACCACCCUGAAUGAAGCUGAUCUCGUCUAAUCUCAGCAGCUAAGCAGAGUUGGGCCUGGUUAGUACUUGAGUGGGAGAAAAAGAAAACUUGAGUCCAUUUGAUC